CUACGGGUGGCUGCAGUGAGGAAUAUUGGUCAAUGGGCGCAAGCCUGAACCAGCCAUCCCGCGUGAAGGAAGAAGGCGCUAUGCGUUGUAAACUUCUUUUCCAGAGGAAUAAAAUUUCGUACGUGUACGGGACUGAAGGUACUCUGGGAAUAAGCAUCGGCUAACUCCGUGCCAGCAGCCGCGGUAAUACGGAGGAUGCAAGCGUUUAUCGGAUUUAUUGGGUUUAAAGGGUGCAUAGGAGGUCAGUGGAGAAAUCCUGCAGCUUAACUGUAGAAUUGCCAUUGAUACUGUUAUUCUUGAGUAUGGUCAAGGUAGGCGGAAUGUGUAAUGUAGCGGUGAAAUGCUUAGAUAUUACACAGAACACCGAUUGCGAAGGCAGCUUGCUGGGCCAUUACUGACGCUGAUGCACGAAAGCGUGGGGAUCGAACAGGAUUAGAUACCCUGGUAGUC
rnacentral:rRNA from 1 species